CACGUAGGAGGCUAGCGUUGUCCGGAAUCAUUGGGCGUAAAGAGCGCGCAGGCGGCUUGGCAAGUCGGGUGUGAAAUCCCGGGGCUCAACCCCGGGACUGCAUUCGAUACUGUCAGGCUAGAGGUAGGUAGGGGAGAUCGGAAUUCCUGGUGUAGCGGUGAAAUGCGCAGAUAUCAGGAGGAACACCGGUGGCGAAGGCGGAUCUCUGGGCAUCUCCUGACGCUGAGGCGCGAAAGCGUGGGGAGCGAACAGG
rnacentral:rRNA from 1 species